GAAUUUUGGACAAUGGGCGAAAGCCUGAUCCAGCAAUGCCGCGUGCAGGAUGAAGGCCUGCGGGUUGUAAAGCCCUUUCGCCUGGGAAGAAAAGCCUGGUGCUAAUACCGCCGGGUCUUGACGUUACCAGGAGAAGAAGCACCGGCUAACUCCGUGCCAGCAGCCGCGGUAAUACGGAGGGUGCGAGCGUUAAUCGGAAUUACUGGGCGUAAAGCGCGCGUAGGCGGUGGCGUGAGUCGGGCGUGAAAGCCCCGGGCUUAACCUGGGAAUUGCGUUCGAUACUGCGCUGCUAGAGUCUGGGAGAGGGAAGGGGAAUUCCGGGUGUAGCGGUGAAAUGCGUAGAUAUCCGGAGGAACACCAGUGGCGAAGGCGCCUUCCUGGCCCAAGACUGACGCUGAGGUGCGAAAGCGUGGGGAGCAAACAGG
rnacentral:rRNA from 1 species